CCUACGGGAGGCUGCAGUGAGGAAUAUUGGUCAAUGGGCGGAAGCCUGAACCAGCCAAGUAGCGUGCAGGAUGACGGCCCUACGGGUUGUAAACUGCUUUUAUACGGGAAUAACUCGCCUUACGUAUACGGCUUUGCAUGUACCCUAUGAAUAAGGACCGGCUAAUUCCGUGCCAGCCGCCGCGGUAAUACGGAAGGUCCGGGCGUUAUCCGGAUUUAUUGGGGUUAAAGGGAGCGUAGGCCGCCUGUUAAGCCUGCUGUGAAAUGUCCGGGCUCAACCGUAAAAUUGCAGUUGAAACUGGCAGGCUUGAGUACAGUAGAGGUGGGCGGAAUUCGUGGUGUAGCGGUGAAAUGCUUAGAUAUCACGAAGAACUCCGAUUGCGAAGGCAGCUCACUGGACUGUAACUGACGUUGAGGCUCGAAAGCGUGGGGAGCAAACAGGAUUAGAUACCCGAGUAGUC
rnacentral:rRNA from 1 species